UUCUUUUGAUAUUCCCGCCUUACUAUAAUAUCGUUCACACUCUAUCUUUCUCACAGACUAUUUUCUUAUACCUUGUUUGUGAAACCUCACUCUUUUUCUCUCUUUUUUUUCUCUCUUUUUUUGGUGUGUAUAAAUGAGAGUUGAAGCUUUGCCAAAAACCCCACUCCCUAAAGCCUAUAAUAUUUGACAAUUUUGCACAAACUUUUCACAAUUUCCUACCAAACCUUUUGAAUGAGAUGGACAUCGUUGGAAGCCAGUGUUUCACGUCGUUUAUUGGUAAUUAUUGGGAUCUUUACAAGCACCUCUUAUAAUUGCUG
rnacentral:lncRNA from 1 species